GACGAAGGGGGCUAGCGUUGUUCGGAAUUACUGGGCGUAAAGCGCGUGUAGGCGGUUGCCCAAGUCGGGUGUGAAAGCCUUGAGCUCAACUCAAGAAAUGCACUCGGUACUGGGUGACUAGAGGACCGGAGAGGAUAGUGGAAUUCCCAGUGUAGUGGUGAAAUACGUAGAGAUUGGGAAGAACACCAGUGGCGAAGGCGGCUAUCUGGUACGUGACUGACGCUGAGACGCGAAAGCGUGGGGAGCAAACAGG
rnacentral:rRNA from 1 species